rnacentral:rRNA from 1 species
AUUGAACGCUGGCGGCAGGCCUAACACAUGCAAGUCGAGCGGAGCGGCGGACGGGUGAGUGAUGCCUAGGAAUCUGCCUGGUAGUGGGGGAUAACGUCCGGAAACGGGCGCUAAUACCGCAUACUAUCAGAUGAGCCUAGGUCGGAUUAGCUAGUUGGGGGGGUAAAGGCCUACCAAGGCGACGAUCCCUAGCUGGUCUGAGAGGAUGACCAGCCACACUGGAACUGAGACACGGUCCAGACUCCUACGGGAGGCAGCAGUGGGGAAUAUUGCACAAUGGGCGCAAGCCUGAUGCAGCCAUGCCGCGUGUGUGAAGAAGGCCUUCGGGUUGUAAAGCACUUUUGGCAGGAAAGCGGUACCUGCAGAAUAAGCACCGGCUAACUACGUGCCAGCAGCCGCGGUAAUUC